ensembl:lncRNA
CCUGAGAGCUUUUCAUUUGGUGCAUUGGCCGGGAAAGGAGAUCCUCCAGCCAGGGACCACCGACCACCCACUGGGAGGUAAGCCGGCCGGCGUCUGUCUGAUUCUGUCUCGUUCUGCCUUAUUCUGUCUGUUCUGUGAGCGCUCAGCCAGGUCUGUUCUGUGAGCGCUCAGCCAGGUUGUUUGGAAUUUGGGCGGGACGAAGAAGGAGCUGACGAGCUCGGACUUCUCGCCCCGCAGCCCUGGAAGACGUUCCAAGGGUGUUGGGGCCCGACUUUUCGGGGCCCAAUCUGGGAGAGGAGAAAGAUCCGGACUAACGGCACCUCUGUCUGUAUUUUUGGCUUUCAGAGGGCCCCGGACCUUUGCCACCUCCAUCUGACUUUUUGCUUUCAGUUUGGUACCAAAGCCGUGCAGCACGCCUGUCUGUUGUUUGUUUGACUGUUGGUGUUGUUUGUUUUCUCUGUGUUCUAAUCUUCCUUAGAACUAACAUGGGACAGUCCCUAACAACGCCCCUAAGUCUCACUCUUGAUCAUUGGAAAGACGUCCACGGCCGGGCACACAACCAGUCCGUCGAGGUUAAAAAAA